rnacentral:rRNA from 1 species
GACGUAGGGCGCGAGCGUUGUCCGGAUUUAUUGGGCGUAAAGAGCUCGUAGGCGGCUCGUCGCGUCGACCGUGAAAACCCGCGGCUUAACUGCGGGCUUGCGGUUGAUACGGGCGGGCUAGAGUUCGGUAGGGGAGACUGGAAUUCCUGGUGGUAGCGGUGAAAUGCGCAGAUAUCAGGAGGAACACCGGUGGCGAAGGCGGGUCUCUGGGCCGAUACUGACGCUGAGGAGCGAAAGCGUGGGGAGCGAACAGG